UGCGUAGGUGGCGCCGUAAGUCGGGUGUGAAAUUUCGGAGCUUAACUCCGAAACUGCAUUCGAUACUGCGGUGCUUGAGGACUGGAGAGGAGACUGGAAUUCAUGGUGUAGCAGUGAAAUGCGUAGAGAUCAUGAGGAAGACCAGUGGCGAAGGCGGGUCUCUGGACAGUUCCUGACACUGAGGCACGAAGGCCAGGGGAGCAUACG
rnacentral:rRNA from 1 species